ACGCUCGACACCUACUGGAGGCAGCAGUGGGGAAUAUUGCACAAUGGGGGAAACCCUGAUGCAGCGACGCCGCGUGAGCGAAGAAGUAUUUCGGUAUGUAAAGCUCUAUCAGCAGGGAAGAAAGUGACGGUACCUGACUAAGAAGCCCCGGCUAACUACGUGUCAGCAGCCGCGGUAAUCUGAGCGGGCUGGCAAGGC
rnacentral:rRNA from 1 species